UACGUAGGCAGCGAGCGUUGUUCGGAUUUACUGGGCGUAAAGGGCGCGUAGGCGGCCACCGCAAGUCGGUUGUGAAAUCUCUGGGCUUAACCCAGAAAGGUCAACCGAUACUGCGGGGCUAGAGUGCAGAAGGGGCAACUGGAAUUCUCGGUGUAGCGGUGAAAUGCGUAGAUAUCGAGAGGAACACCUGCGGCGAAGGCGGGUUGCUGGGCUGACACUGACGCUGAACUGCGAAAGCUAGGGGAGCGAACGGG
rnacentral:rRNA from 1 species